UGUGUGUGUGUGUGUGUGUACUUUUGCUAGUAACCCUCUUUUGAUCACUUGAUCCUUUUAACAGAUAUGUGAAUAAUAUCCAAGUUGGUAAUAUAUAUUGAAAAAAAUAUGUUGACUAGAUUUGUGCCAUAUAAAACAUUUUCAAAUAGCCUUCACUCCCCAUGCUCUCUCUUUCAAACAGUCCCCUUUAAAACCUCUGCUAUUAAUAUUAAACUGGUCUGGCUAGGGCAGAACAUGAUACUCUGAGAGGACCUAUUUCAUAAUAGUGCAUUCUCCAAUGUUGAGUAAACUGACCUGUGAAGAAGUGCUGGUACUUACACAUGCUGUAUAUAAUGCUUUUCAUCUGAAGAUCUCAGUACACUUUAAGACUUUCAGUUAUUUUAUUCCCACAACAUCCCUUGAUCACAUACCCUCAGUGUCUGCAUGCAAUGGCCCAUUAUACAUUUUGAAGCACAUCAGCUCUCUCAGGGAAAAAACAAAUCUACAUGCUGUUUCCCACAGAUUGAACCUACUUAUGGAAGAAAGAAACAACAACAAAUCUUUCUGUUUCCCAGUCAAGGCCAUUUUGCAGCUUUUGGAAGAGCUUCUGGAAAGAGAUGAUCUUCAUAACUACAAAUAUUAGAGGAGCUGUUCAUUGGGUGAAAAUAUGCAACAUUCCAAGUAUAGAGUGAUCCUUCUCUCCAACCGUUUUAAACUCAUCUUGCAGGAUGUUUUUCUCUCUGGUGUAAGAGAUGCACCUGUCUGUGUAUUUGUACCAAACUAUUUUAACAAAGAAAAUAAAAUCUGUAGUUCUUUGUUCUGCAUCUGCAAAGUGACAGUCA